rnacentral:rRNA from 1 species
UACGUAGGGUGCAAGCGUUGUCCGGAAUUAUUGGGCGUAAAGAGCUCGUAGGCGGUUUGUCGCGUCUGCUGUGAAAACUCGGGGCUUAACUCCGGGCCUGCAGUGGGUACGGGCAGACUAGAGUGCGGUAGGGGAGACUGGAAUUCCUGGUGUAGCGGUGAAAUGCGCAGAUAUCAGGAGGAACACCAGUGGCGAAGGCGGUGCUCUGGGCCGGAACUGACGCUGAGGAGCGAAAGCGUGGGGAGCGAACAGG